UACAGAGGAGCCAAGCGUUGUCCGGAUUGACUGGGCGUAAAGCGCACGCAGGCGGGGGCGCGCGGGGGGGGUGAAAUCUGGCCGCUUAACGGCCAGGCGCCAUCCCAUACGGCGCGCCUGGAGCCUUGCAGAGGUCGGUGGAAUUGCCGGUGUAGUGGUGAAAUGCGUAGAUAUCAGGAGGAACACCUGUGGCGAAAGCGGCUCACUGGACCAUAACUGACGCUGAGGAGCGAAAGCGUGGGGAGCGAACAGG
rnacentral:rRNA from 1 species